rnacentral:lncRNA from 1 species
CAUCCUCUCUUCCAGCUGCCACACAGAAGAUUCUAGAUGACUGCUGUUCUUGGCAAAAGCUUGCUGGUGACAGACUUCGAUUUGCUUGUAAGAUCAGCCUGACUGCCUUCUAGAUAGAGAUUCUUCCCUCAAGGAAAGACUUUUUUUUAAAAAAAAAGCAUGAUUGUGUCAAAAAGGUGAAUCCUGACAUGGAUGGGAAAAUGAUUCUAGAAUGUUUCUGCCAGUUCUCAUUUGAUCACACUGAGCACGCAAACAAGUCAUCAAAACUGAUGUCAAGACAGAUUUUCACUAGAUUUUGCCAGGCACGUUUUCUUAGGCUCUCAAGUUUGUCACUGUCUGUGUAAUAACUUGGGGCAUGCCCAAGACAGCAAUUAGCCAAAUAGAUUUGGGCUUUUGACGUAAUGGGAUAGUGUUUGUUGGCUGUUGGAGUUGUUCACUUGGAGCCUAUACUUAUGUUGCACACUGAAAAGGUCAGAGCUGACUUUCUGCACUUGCUUGAAAUCUAUUUUCAUAGGAGCUGAAGUUAAUGCUUUACCUAAACUUUAUAUUGCUUUGUAAUAGAACCAGAUCCAGAUUAGUACAAAUAAUGAGUCCCCUGAAGUGGCUGAAUUAUUAUUUGUGGUUCUAAGAGAAUGUCUCUAAAACUCUCUUCUCGCCUAGCAUGUUUCUUGCAUAUAUGUGUAUAUCUGAAUGUGUGUGUAUAUUCUAAACAUUUUUAAAAUCACCAUCCUGAGGCUUCAGUAUUCUCACUGUAACUAUUUAUCUCCUUGUUCCUUAUGCACCACUGGCAUCGGGUUAUUCUGUUUGUUCUCUCCCUGCUACCCCUGAAAAAGAGGGAUUUUGAGAACAGGAGCUCUUGGUAGUGAAUCCUCCGGCACCCUAUCAGACAUGAAGAUUGCCAAUGUAAUCAGUGGGCUUAGAAGGGAGAGCCCCAAAGAGUCAGUGUGGUCUUAAGAAAAGUAGUGCCCAGGCUGAGUUGUGUAACCAAUAUUUGUGGAAAACUUGCAAAUGACAUUCCUCCUUAUUAGAAGGAAGGAGCCUGGGUAGGAAGCUGUGUAUUUUGAGUGGGAGAGAAAUGAAAUACAGGGUACAGGGAAGCUAGGCUCUUUUCCAUCAGAAGCUCCAGGGAAAUAUCACAGGAGAUUGGGAUGACUGUUAGCUUGCCAGUGAUCUUGACUUUAACGAAAUAUAUAUUUUGAGAAAUGUCAUUUUAUUUUUUAAUCUCCUAUCCUCCCUAUCAUCUUCUUUUGAUAGCUUAGAGAAAUAACUCCUUCUCUGUAACAGAGAGACACAACUCAUAGAUUGGGUCUAUAAGAUGCCAAAACAAGCAGUCAACUGCCAUAUACAAUUACUUCAACUUUCUAUCAACUUUAUUUCUACAGUAGCUCUCACAUGCUUUCCCUUCUCUCUAUUCUAACCCAGCAGAGGCCUUCUUUCCCACCCCUCUGGGAUUAACAAUAGCUCCUAAACAAAUCUCUCUGCUUUUAUUCUCUUUUUUUUUUUUUUUUUCAUUCCCUCCCAAAGAUCAGGGGUUCUUUUACAUGAUUGGUAUGGAGGCAAAAGCUGGACAGUAGAAGAAGAUACUGAAUGCCUUGAGAAAGUAGAAAGAAUGACCUGGGAAUUGUAUACAACAACUGUGAUUUGUACUAGUUGGAACAUUUUGAGUUCUGCUUUUAUUCUCACUUCUCUCCAAUCUAUCCUUAAUUCCACCAACAGAACAAUCUUUCUCAUUCAUAGAUCCCAUCAUUCAACAAAUAUUUAUUAAGUGCCAAGCUAGGGGUACAAAGACAGAACAAUUAUGAUACUCUUCUGUUCAGAGCCAUGAUAUGGCUCCCUAUUGCCUGUGGAAUAAAAUUCAGAGUAGCCUUCUAUUCAACACUCUCUGUAAUUAAGUAUCUCUUUAUUUUGCUGUCUUUUCUUGGGUUACUUGUCACAUAUUUUAGGCUCAAGCCAAACUGGGCUACUUAAAAUCUCCCUUUUAUUGCCAUAUUCCUGUUUUCUUUUAUGCUUUUGCUGAUGUUCAUCUCUGGGUCUGGAAUAUCCUUACCCCCAUCCAUAUCCUGCUCUACCUGUUGAAUUCUUUUUAAAGGAAGUUAGCCCCACCCUUUUAAAGUUCAAUUCAAAUAUCACCCCUUCUGUAAACUUUCCCUUAUUCCCUCAAUUGGUAAUGUCCUUGUCCUCUCAGAUCUCACAUAUUAAGUACCAUGUGUCUUUCAUGCAAUCACAGUAUGAUAACUUAUCUUUGUGCUAUGCUCCUACUAUAUUAUAAACUAGUGAGGGAAGAGACCAUCUUUUCUAUUUCUUUGUGAUAUAGCUAGGUCUUAUGAAUUCAAAAAUCCCCUGAAGUGGUUGAAUUAUUCAAAUUUGAGCUGCCUAUUUGGAACCAAUUACUAUGUCUUACAAAAUUAUGAUUUCAAGCUAUGUGAAGUUGGGUAUAUGUGACCACUUGAGGGGAUUCAUUGUUCAGACUAAUCUGGAUCUACUUGUACUUAGUAAGUUCAUAGUUUUACAGCUGAGUUCAGUCAACUUAUUUUAUAAAUGAGGAAAGUGACGAAGUGACGUAGAAAGAGACAAAGAGAUUUGUCAGAUACCCUGCAGAUAGUAGUUGGUGCAGAUGGGACUGGGACCUAUGUUUACCAAUAUCAGAACCAUAAACUUUCCAAAAGGCCAUUCUCUGUAUUCUGUAACUCAAAUAGUUAAGAAAUGUUUGUUUAAUUGAAUUGAACUGAAUAGGAAAAAAAUACCCUGCAAACUGAUUUUACAUCUUGCAGACAAAAAUAGUCUAGUGGGUUGACAAAAUCUAAUUGGCUUUUUAACUGAAUUAACUGAUCCAUCUUGCAAAAAUAGCCAAAUAAGACGCUGACAGCCUCAGUGACUCUCAUCAUUGGGAAGAGAAGUAAAAGGAAAUAAUCCUAAAGUGGAGAAACUGCUCUGGAACAAUCAUCAAAACUCAUUUUUCAAGGAUCUAUGAAAUAUCUGUGGCUAAUUCUUCCAUCGAUCCAGAUCAUAACCCCUUUUUAGAGAUGGCCUCUGGGAGUUGCUGUGGUUACAAAAUGUAUCCCAAUGCAGCCAACUUUUUGAUGGCUCUCUCUCCAUAGUUUUGCACUGUCCUCUAUGCCUGGGAUUCCUCCUUCCUCACUUUUGCUAUUAGAAUCCUUGAUUUCUUUCAAGACUAAACUCAAAUGCCAUUUUCUUAGGAAGCCUUUUCCAGUUCCUCUAAUUAUCAGUGCCUUCCUCUCUAAGGUUAUUUUUGCAUCUACUUUGUAUGUAUCUUGUAUGCAUUAUUUCACAUACAUUCUGUCCUUGCUCCCUUCUUCUCCUCUUUAGGAUAUAAGCUCCUUCAGGGCAGGAACUGAUUUUACUUUUUCUUUAUAUCCUCAGCACCAAGAACAGUACUAGGUAUAUAUUAAAUGCUUAAUAAAUAUUUAUUAUUUUUGAUUUUACUUUGUAUUUUCAACAUAAGAAUAGUGCUACAUAGUGCUUAAUAUAUAUAAUUAAUGUAUAUAAUUUAUAAGACCUAGCUAUCCCACAAAGAAAUAGAAAAGAUGGUCUCUUGCCUCACUGAGCUUAUAAUAUAGCAGGAGCAUAACAUAUAAUAUGUAGAAUAAUAAUUAUAUAUUAUAUAAUAAUAUAACAUUUAUUGACCAAUUGAUCAAUUGAUUUGUCCUCCACUAACAAGACUAAAGCCUCUACACCAAGGUAGGACUUAUGUUCUAAUGGCAUAAUCAGUGCUUAUUAAAUAUUUGGACUAGAUUUCUGAAAUUUAGUCAAAUUGCUCAUGUAUGUGUGUGUGUGUGCCAGCAUUGCCUUGCAAAAUAAGGAGUUCCAGCAUCUAUUAGUGGAUCCAACUGUCACAGAUCAACAAUGACAGUUUUGUCAGUGUUCCCCAACCCCCAUCCCCAUCCCCCUACUCCCCACCCACUUUAUUCUUAAACUAUGGUAUAUUUCUGUUAUCAGGACCUGAGUUAGUUUUUUUUUUUCCUUUAAAACUUUUCCAGGAUUAUGAGAAUAUCACAAAACCGACUUUGCCUUUGUUUUCCUUUAUGACUGGAAGCAUACAUUUUCGGCAUAUCUAGAGAAGUUAUUUUAUAUAUCUCACAUAAUUAUAUCUUACUUAAUUAUCAGUUUGCUCAAAGCAAAAGAAAUAGGAGUCAGAUGAGCAGUCCCACAGAGGCCUGCUGGGAACUUCUAUAAAUGCUUUAACUACCUAGACAUAGGUGUGAUAGAAAGAAUCACCAUAAUCAGAAAACUGAAGUUUUAGUUUCAGUUUUGUCUUUAAAUAUAGAGGCAACAGAAAAUACUUAAUUUGGAAUAAUUAAUUAUUGUAAGCUUUUUAAAUCUAAAAUCUCUUCUACACUAUACUUGACAGGUGAUCAUCUGGCAUACCAUCCCAUUUUUGGACAAUUCUAAUAGUUGGACAGUCUUUCCCCAUCUUAUAUCAAGCCUGAAUCUGCCUCUCUCUUUCAUACCAUUUAAAACAUACUCUUAGUUUUGCUCUUUGAAGCCAAGUAGAAUAAAUCUAAUAUCUUUUCUUUCUUUUUUUUGGUAGAACAUCCUAAAAUUUUAAUUCUUUUUAGUUGGUUUAUUCACAUGGCUUUUGAUUAAGAAAACUAUAGAAAUUUAGUAACUGCAACAAUUUAACACUAGGCACUAGCCACUGAGAAUCUGUCAUUUUUUUGUAGAGUCCUGCUUUGUAGAACAUUUGGAAGGAUCUGCUCUGAAAUAUUGGUAGCCUGUUCUGGAAUUAAAUAUGGAAGUAUUGAGCCUUUUUUCAUGUUUCUUUGAACUCUUACAGAAGUGUUCUGACAGAGUUUUAAAAUGGUCUUUAGAGUAUUCUUUAGUUAAGUCAUCCUGAAAGGAGUGUUUUGGCUUGAGGUCAUCCACAGGUUCUACAAGGAAAGGGAUGACUAGAUCAGUUUGGGUUGCUAGCUUCCAAUUUUUAACAUUGGUAGAUAAGAUCUGCCCUUUUUAAUCAAUGCAAAGGACAUACAUGUAUGCUUUUAAAUAAGAUUUCAGUGGCUUGAAUAGACACUCUGCUAAGUAGUUGAUUUUAAUUCUGAAGGUUUGGCACAUGGAAAAUUGCCAGGAACAAUAAACUCAUGCAAAGCCAAUAAAUUAAUUUCAUCAACCUGGGUGCUAUGGAAUUUUUUUUAUUACAUAUUUGCAGAGUUUUUCUAACUCUCUCAUCAGCCUAUGCUGGCCACCAUCUUGGACCCAGUACUACUGUCUUAUGUGUAUUUUUAUAUAUGCAUAUGUGUUUAUAUAUAUGCAUAUGUGUUUAUAUACAUAUAUGUAUAUAUACAAAAUUCUUUUUCUAUGUGGUAGCCCUUUAAAUAUUUGGAUAGCUAUCAUUUCUCUCAAAGUCUUCUCUUCUCUGAGCUAGAUGUUCCCAGUUCCUUAAACUGGUUCACAUGUGACAAAAAAUUGAGGCCCUUCUUCAUCUUGGUUGCUCCCUAUGUGACUUUGGCCAAGUCAUUGAAUAUCUUUACACUGCAAUUUCCUCAAAUAUUGACUAAGAAUAAAGACCCAUGCUCUACUUUCCUGCCUCAUAGGAUUUUGAAGCUUAAAUUAGGUCAUGUAUGUAAACACACUUUGAAAUAAAGUACAAUGAAAAUAUAAGACAUCCUUAUUACAGUCAGGACAAAAAUACAUUUUUAUGGCUCAACUUAAUAAGGAAAUUGUUAGUGAAGCUAUGGGGUUCUGGUAUCACAGGUCCCCAUUAUCAUGUCCUUCCUUAAAUGGAGUCAAAUCAAAACAAAAACAAAUCAUAGCAGUGAUGCAUGAACAGGGCUUUGAUAGAGACACUCAAAUUGUCUUCCCAUCUCUGUGGACCUAAUUAAAAGAGCAAUAUUUCUCCCCUCCCUCAUUGUGGGGGAUGACUCAUCUGGUAAAAAUAUCACAGUACUAGAGGGACAAAAUAUCGGUUACACAGAGACUAAUCUGUCUAGGAACAGAAAAAAUAAUGGUGUGCAGCAACAGGAAAAGGUGAGAUAUCUUUCAAUCAUAAUGAACACUUCCCCCACCCCUUUUCCUUCUGAGGUCUUUAUGACGUUUGAAAUUCAAAGGAUUAUAUGUAUUUCCACACAUUAAUAUUCAUAUUAUACAUAUAUUAUAUGUGGGGAUAUAGAUUUGUUGUUGUUCUUCAGUCAUGUCAGAUUUUCCAUUAUUUUGUUUUCUUGACAAAGAUGCUGUAGUAGUUUGCUAUUUUUCCCUCCACUGGAUUAAGCUAACCAGAGGUUAAAUGACUUGCCAAGGAUCAUACAGCUAGUGAGCUAAGCUGGAUUUAAACUCAGGUAUUCCUGACUUCAGCUUCCCUCCCCACCACACCCACUGUUCUAUCCACUGAGCCAUCUCCCCCUCUCCUUCUCCGUCCCUCUCCCUCUCUCCCUCCCUCUCCCUCUCCUUUCCCUCCCUCCCUUUCCCUCUCUUCCUCUCCCUUUCCCUUUUCCUCCCUCCCUCUCUCUCUUCUCCCUUCUCCCUCUCCCUUUCCCUCCCUCCCUCUCUCUUUCCUUCUCCUCUCUCUCUCACUCUCUCUCCCUCCCUCCCUCCCCCCUCCCUCCCUUCUUCCCCCCUCUCCCAGUAACAAACCUAUGAGGCAAGCAAAGGAGCACAUUUUCUCCUCGUGUCAAAAGUGAAGAAUGUGAAAUACAGAUAGGAGAGAUGACCUUCUCUACCAAGGUCACAUAACUAUUAAAUGACAAAGCUGGUACUAGUACCCAGGUCUUCUGACUUUUUUGUAUACCAACCUUGGGACAUAGGAGUAGUUACAGGUGUUUCAAGAAUGUCUCUAGGGAGAUUGUCCAUAUGGCUUGUAUUUCUUUGUCUUUCCCCCACAAAAUCAGGGUCAACUUCUAUUCAUAAGCUUCAUUUCUUUUCUCUUUGUUUUGUUUGUUUGUGUGUUUCUCUUUGUCUUUCUCUGUCUUUGUCUUUGGUCUGUCUCUCUCUUUCCCUCAGUUUCUGUCUCUGUGUCUGUCUCUCUGUCUCUAUCUCAUUCUGUCCUUCCUUCCUUCCUUUCUUCUUUCCUUCCUUCCUUCCUUCCUUCUUUCCUUCCU